UGGGGAAUAUUGGACAAUGGGGGCAACCCUGAUCCAGCAACGCCGCGUGAGUGACGAAGGCCUUCGGGUUGUAAAGCUCUUUAGCUAGGGAAGACAAUGACGGUACCUAGAAAAUAAGCACCGGCUAACUUCGUGCCAGCAGCCGCGGUAAUACGAAGGGUGCUAGCGUUGUUCGGAAUCACUGGGCGUAAAGCGUGCGUAGGUGGCUUGGCAAGCCAAGGGUGAAAUCCCGGAGCUUAACUCCGGAAUUGCCUUUGGAACUGCUUGGCUAGAGGAUAUUAGAGGUAAGUGGAAUUUCUAGUGUAGGAGUGAAAUCCGUAGAUAUUAGAAGGAACAUCGACUGCGAAGGCAGCUUACUGGGAUAUUUCUGACACUGAGGCACGAAAGCGUGGGGAUCAAA
rnacentral:rRNA from 1 species